rnacentral:lncRNA from 1 species
GGACAUUAGCAGCAGCUGCAGGAAUUGCUGCUGCUCUGCUACUUGUCAUACUCCUUUCCAUCUUCCUGUGGAUUAGAAGAAAAAGGACCUCGACUCAAACCCCUGGACCUGAAGCACAAGAAGACACAGAGCAGUUAAACCACCCGCCUGUGCACAGCAGCAUCUCUGCCGUGGGACAGGAGCCGAUCCGUGCAGCUCAGAGCAAACCAGCUGAGCAGGAUGAGCUUCACUACAGCACCCUACACUUCUCUAAGAAAAAUCCCCUGUACUCCACCAACCAGCUGUCCCAGCCCCAGCUCCAGCCCCAGCCCCAGCCAGAGGAGGAAGUCCAG